GUGAAUCAUCGAAUUUUUGAACGCAAAUUGCACUCUCUGGUAUUCCGGAGAGUAUGCCUGUUUGAGGGUCAGUUUAAAUAAAAAUCGGUGUGGUUGUUGUUUUUCGUGGUGACGCACUGGAUUUGGGUUGUCCUGUUUUCGGUUAAGUGACAUAUAAUUUUGCAUGCUUUUUUUUGUCCGUAUUUAAAUGAU
rnacentral:misc_RNA from 1 species